UGCGUUAGGCCUAGGCCGCACUACGGUU
rnacentral:sRNA from 1 species